UACGAAGGGGGGCUAGCGUUGUUCGGAAUUACUGGGCGUAAAGCGUGCGCAGGCGGCUGCUCAAGUCAGGGGUGAAAGCCCAGAGCUCAACUCUGGAAUUGCCUUUGAGACUGAGUGGCUUGAGUACGGGAGAGGUGAGUGGAAUUCCCAGUGUAGAGGUGAAAUUCGUAGAUAUUGGGAAGAACACCGGUGGCGAAGGCGGCUCACUGGCCCGUAACUGACGCUCAUGCACGACAGCGUGGGGAUCAAACAGG
rnacentral:rRNA from 1 species